UGAAAUCAACUUCCCAUUCCCAUAUAACAGAGAAACAUAGUACUAGUUCAUAACAACGUGAAUGUGGUCGCGUUGAUAAGCUAUCUUAUAUUUUGAUAAGAAACGGAAAAUCGUGAUGUUCACGCGAGGCAGUAUCAUUGUCCUACUACGACAAGUUGUCUUGUGCUCGAGUUAAGCCUUCUGUUUUCUUCUUCCGUUCUCUUCGUCCUGUUGAACAACAGUGCGUGUAGGUGGAUGCUGUCGCAACCGAAAAAGCGAAAAAGUUAUUGCAUUGCCAUGAGUUACGACAUCACAUCACCCUGCAAAUUCCUUUAGCAGAACAAACGUUUAUCAGAAAUUCAGAAGAAACCAAACAUCGAGGACAUACGAGGUCUAUCCCAAAAUAUUUAUCAAUUUUGGUUUCCAUAUCAAAAGUUUAAUUUAAUUUAUAGAAAAUACUUAUUACAAUAUUUAUAUCACCAAAUAAGUUUAUAAAAAACUAAAUUCAAAAAUCUUUCUAAGAAUACCAAUUAUGUGCCCUGCAUCAAAGUUGUUUCUCGAUAAACAAAAAUAAUAUAUAUUUUGAGGCGGAGUGAGUACAUGCCACGUGUGACAAUCUGAAUAUACUGUCUACGUAUAUAUUACCUGGCAUCAUUGUUUUUGCUGUUUUCAUUCUUCCAAACUUGCGUGCUCUUCUCACGAACGGAGCACGUAUUUCCAACUUUGCGUACGUGUGUUUCAUGUCUGUUUGUUUGCGCUGAUAUUCAAUGCCUCAACUGCUAGCAAGAUCAGAUAAGACUGUGUACCUUCCCAUCUCACUGGCAUGCUCCUCAUUGCAUUUUUUUUGAAAAAAAAAAACAAAACAAAUCAUCAAUUCAUAUAUUGCGUCGCGUAUCCUACAGCCAUUUCUUGUUGGCGAUGGCCCCCUUGUGCCAGCGAAACUCAUGUGGAGGACGUUGAUGUCUCGAUACCCAACUUAUGAGCCCGUGUUGCUGCGUUGCCGACUCAGUUCAGAUCCUCCACCGUCCGUUUGUUUUUUCCGGCACAAACUGCCGUGGCUUUGCUUUUCCAGUCGUGACUGAACCUGUACCAUCCACGUCGAGCUCGAGCCCAUGUUGCCGAUGGAUUGCACUCGAACAACCCGCGCGACUGAUCGAGAAGUCGGUGAUUUGGACUGAAACCGUCGCCGUCAGUUUCCUAAUUGGGUCAUGGCGUCUAGUUGAAAGCAAUUGUGCCCCAACUGCCCCCAUGCCAGCAAAGCGAACACAUGCAUGCCGUAGAAUUAAACCGGAGCAGCAACUGUCGAGAGAGAGAAUCCUAUCCGGGCAGUUUUGUGGCCGAUUUGUCUGACUGCCCUGAGGCCUCCCUCUUUGUUCCCAUGCACAAGCCGACUGUGAGAGAAAGCGACCACGUCAUGGGAGAUUGGGACUUUGGGAGGGAGGAGGAGGACGUCACCGCGCGCUCCAGCCGGGCAUUGUUUAGGCUGUGUUUAGUUUCGGAAGGAAAAAAUUUCGCGAUACUAUAACACUUUUGUUUGUUUGUGUUAAUUAUUGUCUAACCAUGUACUAACUAGACUCAAAAAAUUCGUCUCGUCAAUUUCGACCAAACUGUGCAAUUAGUUUUUAUUUUCGUCUAUAUUUAAUACUUCAUGCAUGCGUCUAAAGACUCGAUAUGACGGAGAAUCUUGAAAAUUUUUUGGUUUUUUGAGUGGAAGUAAAUAAGGCCUUAGUUGACCAAAAUCUUUCCUUUAUAUUUGAUAAUUAUUGUUCGACUAUAAACUAACUAGAUUUAAAAAAUUAUCUCGUAAAUUACAAAUAAAUUAUACAAUUAAUUAUUUUUAGAAAUUUGGUCAAAGUUUAAAAAAUUUGACUUAGGACAACUCUAGAAACUGAUUCUUUCGUGAACGGAUAGAGUAACUAAUUAUACAGUUUACAUAUAAUUUACGAGAUGAAUCUUUUGAGCUUAGUUAGAGCAUCUCCAACCAUUAUGCAUUUGAAGUUAUGUAUUUUAGGCAAAUUACAAAUCCCCAAAUGAAAAUGGCAAGGCUAAAAUCGGGUGAUCUCCAACCGUUAUGCAAAAUGCCAAGUCCAUCAUCUUUUUUUUUCCCGGAAAUUUUGUUUCGCGGCACUCCUUCCUGCGCGGCCAAUCGAUCCCGCGCCAAACAGCCCGCCGUCGUCUCCCGUUCACCAAUUCCCGUGCCAAACAGCCGCGCAGUACCGAUCGUGAGCUGCGCAGUUCGUCGUUCCCGUUGGCAGUACCGAUCUCCCGUUCCGUUAGUUCCUGUUCACCGUACCAGUUCGUCGCCUGUUGGCCAUCAGUUCGUCGUCGUACAGGUUCGCCCCUUGGCUCCGGUACCGAUCUCCAUCAAGUCUUGUUCCCCAUCAGUUUCCGGUCGCCGCCAUCAGUUCGUCGUCAAGGCAGGUCGCCGCCAUCAGUCAAGCUGUUGCAGCUCGCGAGCAGCAGAAUUUCGUGAAGCCAACAUGGGAUCGAGGGUACCGGAGAAUGGAUCUAGCCGUAUUGCAUAGCGCAUCGCCAAGGUUUGAACUUCGUAGCCGAAUAUCUUGAUCCAAUUCAUGUGGUCUUUGUUCGAUGUACUGAGCUGCGAAGCUGGCGAAGGAGGACGCGCGAUGCUUCUCCUAUCGUGCAAAGUGGUGGCGGCGCGAAGGGAAACCGCGCGAAAGGAAGAAAAAAGCCCGCGAGAUGGAACCGAGAAUCCCGUGAUCUCUAUUUGCAUAGCCGGACUCCUUUGGCAUAUAUGCCAAGUUUCCCCCUCCAAAUGCAUAGCUAUGUAAAAUGCAAAGUCCAAAUGCAUAACGAUUGGAGAGGUUUUUUUAGGAGUUUUAUGCAUUUUGGUAAAUGGCAAGUCCAUUUGCAUAAUGGUUGGAGUUGCUCUUAGUCUAUAUUAAACAAUAUUUAUCAAAUACAAACAAAAGUGUUAAAAUGUUCAUUUUAUUUGUUCUCUUUUCUCCCUUCUCUCCUCCACGUCAGCAUCCAGCCCACUUCAGCCCCUUAUUUUAUCUGCAGGCGCAAAGCGUGUUUGGACAAGAGAAAGCAAGCGGUUCCACGGCUUUCCGCGGCAAAGCAAUACCAACGGAGACAGGCGUACCCGGAACCGGCAACUUGCGCGUAGUACUCGUACGCCCCAACCAUGGGCCUUGUUUAUUUUCCAGAAAAUUUUGCAAAAUAUUUCACAUUCCUCGUCACAUCGAAUUUUUAGACGUAUGCAUGGAGUAUUAAAUAUAGACGAAAAUAAAAACUAAUUGCACAGUUUGGUCGAAAUUGACCAGACGAAUCUUUUGAGUCUAGUUAGUACAUGAUUGGACAAUAUUUGUCAAAUACAAACGAAAAUGCUACAGUGUCAAUUUCCCAAAAUUUUUCGGAACUAAACAAGGCCCAAGCCCCAUUUUUCUCGCAGAAAAACGAAGCAGGGGGACCAGAAAGUGGAGGAUCGGGACAAAUCGUGGCCGCUCCGCUCCGGGGAAGUUGGGCGCGUCGGCGAAGCUUGCCUGUCCUCGCGUCGCCGAGCCCACACCUCGGCGCCUAUCUGGCUAUCAGCACUGCCCCCUUGUGAGUACAGUGACCUACUGACUUGUGUCACCAAUCCGGCCCCCUCAACUGUAUUUUCAUUCCACAUUAAAUUCCUCCUUUUCUCCCCUUCUCCAUAACGUCAACGAAGUAGGUUUCAAAAGGAAAAAAAAAAGUACUCCAUGAACUUUAGCAAAAAGUCGCUCUUGCAAUGUCAAAUCAGUUUUGCACUGUCCUGCUUUGCGGAUAAUCCUUUCGUCCAGUAAUACUAGGGCCUCGUUGUUCUGAAAAGAUUUCAGAUUUCGUACGUAUUUUUGUUUUUAUUUGACAAAUACUGUAUUAUCUAAUUAUGGACUAAUUAGACUCAAAAGAUUCAUCUCGUGAUUUACAACCAAACUGUGCAAUUAGUUUUUGUUUUCGUCUAUAUCUAAUGCUUUAUGCAUAUGCCUCAAGAUUUGAUGUGACGGAGAAUCUUGAAAAGUUUUUUAUUUUUUGGGUGAACUAAACAAGGCCUAGAUAACUCUGUGCUUGAGUUUAUUUGUCAAAUCUACCAACUAUUUUAGAAGUGUUUUUCUUUCAUAACAAAUCAGCGAAAAGUACUUUCAGCCGGCAAAUUAUUGGUGAAAUAAAUGAUAACCUUGUGCUUAUCAUAUUUUGCACAUGUUAAUAGAUACAAUGGCAGUUAUGUAUGUAGUUGGUGUUUUGAAGGAGUUAAUUCAUUUAGAAUUUAGAAUACCUUAUAAUUUAAGAUAAAAUUUGGAUGUUUUGAUACGUUAUAUUUUAGGACAGAUAGAGUAUAAUUCUACCUUUAUGUUAAGUCCAGUUUUCUAAGGUUAUAAGUAUCAGUAUUGAUAGCAAACUAAUAUUCAUGAUGAAUUGAAUAACACUUAAAUAUUGAUCUUUUUAUAAAUGAAUUAAAUGUAAAAUAUUUGACUAGAUGCUAUGCUAGACUGCAUUCUUUUUAGGAGGGGGGAAUACAAAAUGAAUGUUUCACUGAAUUCUCGUCUAUAAAGUCUGGAAUUCUAGCACAAUAUUAAGUAUAAAGAUAUCAAUAUUUAUAGUACCAACUAAAUAUCACAAGAUUUGUCAUGAAUAUAUUUUAUAGUAUAUUUAUAUUUAGCAUCAUAACUGUUAAUAUUUUUACCUAAAUAUAUUUGUUAAAUGUUAGAUAUUCUUGACAUAUGUAGUAGAUUAUAGAUAGGUUCACAUCCUGCCUCUGGGUCUGCCUUCAUAACUCAGUUAAUUCUGUACUUUUUCGCUAAUUCUACAAGUAAUUGGAAAGUUGAAGUUUGUAGGUUGGACGACCGUACAACUGCACCAAUCGGCUACUGUGGGAUACGAGCACUUAUAUAACUACAGUAGUGUGCAGUGCAUACUUUAUUGCAUGACUGUACGUGGAUGUGCUUCAAGCCUCAUCAAGGAGACACAAAAAAAUGGCAAAAUGGUAGAACGUUCAAGCGUCUACCAUUCUUGACCAAAAUUGAGGCCUUGUUAGUUUAAAAAAAAUUCAGACCGUCACAACAAAUCUUACUGUACAUAUAUGGAACACUAAAUAUAAAUUAAAAAAAUAACUAAUUAUAUAGUUUAUCUAUAAUUUACUAGACAAAUCUUUUGACCCUAGUUAGUUCAUAAUUGGACAAUAGUAACAAAUACCGGAUCACGUAUUAUCAACCAAUUUUCCGGUGUGUUUAUAAGCUCACAACAAAUCAUUAAUUUGACAUCGUGCAGCCUUUUUAUUUAUUUAAGAAAAGAAAAGAAAAACUAAAGGGUUAAGUUGUCAAUGAACAGUAGAGUAGGCAAACAUUUAUCUGUCCGUUCCAGCAGCAUUAAUCAAAAUUCAGACAAAUCCAUGUCAUUCUUGCAUUGUUGCCCUGGCCCCCAGUCACUACGCUUCAAAGCAGCAGCAGCAGGCCAGCAGCUGACGCCCUGACCCUACACCCAGUCAAACCGAUCGCCUCCUCCGAUCGCCAUUAACGAGUCAGUUGCUCUGCGCUACCACGCGGCCGAGAUGCUGCUGGCGCAGCAAGCUCACCGCCCCUAGAGCCUACAGCGAGCGAGCACGCACGGCAGCUACUAGAAGGCUAGCUAGCGCAUACCAAACCAAACAAACUCCUUUAAAGCCCCACCAGCGGGGGCAGCGCAGGCACCGUCGUCACUGCCAGGCUCGAGGGCAGAGCUAGGGGACCUCACCGCCGCGAUCUCCGGCGUGUCGAGCAGGGGCGUGGCGCGGCGGCCAGGGACGAGCGAGCUAGGGCGCCAUGAGCUCGUCGUCGGACAAUGGCGCCGGCCCGGAGGCCGGCGGGAAGAAGAAGAAGAAGAAGGCGGCGGAGGAGGAGGCGGCGGCGGCCAAGGUGCCGUUCCUGAAGCUGUUCUCGUUCGCGGACCGGUGGGACUGCGUGCUGAUGGCUGUGGGCUCGCUGGGCGCGUGCGCGCACGGCGCCUCCGUCCCGGUCUUCUUCAUCUUCUUCGGCAAGCUCAUCAACAUCAUCGGCCUCGCCUACCUCUUCCCCACCACCGUCUCCGGCCGCGUCGCCAAGGUAACGGCGCCGGCGCGCGCAUGGCGCAUCUAGCUCGCCGGCCGUUUUGUAGAGAUCUCGGCGCGCUCGCUCACCUAAUUGCUUGGUGCAACGACGACAUGGGCUGAUUUUUUUUUUUUCGCUUGGCGUGCACACAGUACUCGCUGGACUUCGUGUACCUCGGCGUCGUCAUACUCUUCUCGUCCUGGACCGGUGCGUGCGUGCGUGCGUGCAACAAGACACUGCUGCUUCUAGUAUGCAAUGCGGGCCGCGCGAGCAGCGUGCGUGCAGAUAAAAAAAGAUGACUUGCGCGUCGUCGUGUGUGUGGUGCAGAGGUGGCGUGCUGGAUGCACACGGGGGAGCGGCAGGCGGCGAAGAUGCGGCAGGCGUACCUGCGCGCGAUGCUGGACCAGGACAUCGCCGUCUUCGACACGGAGGCGUCCACCGGCGAGGUCAUCAACGCCAU
rnacentral:lncRNA from 1 species